rnacentral:lncRNA from 1 species
AUUUAUUUCUAGUCAGGGCUGCUUGGCUAAUUAUUAUUGGCCAGGGGCCUUGCCUAAGUCCAAUUGAGAAUGAGAAAAUGUGCAAACUGACUCCUUAUCUCAUUUUAAACAGUCAACUCUACCCUAGACUAACUCUGAGUUGAUAAUUACUUGAAAAAAACGGCCCCUUAUCCCAUUUUUUUUCUGACUCCAAAGGUCCCUCCUCUGAGGCAUGUCUGUUGCCGCCUGCUUCUUUGCAUCCUGCUGCUGCUUUGCCCAGGAAAGGCAGCGUAAAAUCUGCAGCCACAGGGGUGCAGGUCCCUGCCAAAGCUCCACCCACAUCACCACUGCGUUUACCUAAAGACUGCCACCGUUCACUUGGAGAUCUUAAGGCAAGUCAGAAAGGACAUGGUUAAAGGACUCUGCAAGUUCCCAUGUGGGUUUUAGCAAAAGAUGGGUUAUAUUUUUGUCUUUUCCUUCAGGUGACACGAGUUCUGGUGGCUCGUUUCCUGCAGCGCUCGAAACGCAACCUAGCUCCCUCUUCCGAGCAUGCUGGGAGCACAGGGCAGGGGCCUAAGAGGCGGAGUGGAGUUGAGGGUGCUGCCACCAACUACCUACCCCUGGACCAAGUGCUGCGGACACCCUGGAGCACCGUCCGAGGACACCCCAACCAUCACGCUCACCAUCCUCCUCAUCAGCGUGGACACCACCAUUCCCAUAGUGACAGUCGACACAACCGGCACUACGGCAGCCGGGUACCAGAGGGGAUCCACCUGCGCAGCUGUGGAGAUUUAAGCUCCUCCUCAGCGUCACUUCAUCCACUGGUGACACCUUAUCCGCCACAUGGGUCCUCGGGAGCUCUCUUCUCAGAGUCUGCACUGUGAGGACGAGAGACGGGUGAAGGAGGGACUGGGUAGGGAAAUAGGAGGCAUUCAAAAUGGUAGAGUUGUAGGGAAAGACGGCAGGUUGAAGGAGAGUCUAAAGCAGGAUUAUUCAAGAGAAAAUUGGUAUUGAGAUUUCCCUCCGGUUUCUCCUUGUCACUUCUGUUUCCCAAAGUCAUCUGUGCAAAUGGCCUUAUUUAGUGGUGCUCUUUAUCAAUUGGAGCAUUAAGCCCCUUCUUUCACUGUUCAACAUCAGUGAAACAGUUAUUUGAUGCUUAUUUCUGGCUAGUGUCGUCCUCUGACAGAACAAAUCCAUUAUUGGCUGAGACCAGCCUGCCAGAAGGAUAUUCAUCUGUUGAAUUCUUCACCUCCUCCCUCUCAAUUACCAUCUUGAAAUCAUUUUUCCUCAAGACUGGACACAGGACUCGACAAAAACCACCUACUCACAUGUACAUUCAAUCUUCUACAUUAUUAUGGGUUGUAAUUAUGCAUCUGGCCCUUUUGUACAUUGCUAUAUCUCCACACGAUCACUCAGUUGAAGUGAUCAUGGAAACCCUUAUUUUGUCUUCCAUCAACUUCCAUUGAUUAGUAAAAUGUAUCUCAAUAAACAUAUAGUUAGCUGAGUACAAAGUAAGAUAAACAGGUGGGGGGCAAAUGUACAAUACUUUACUGGGUUGCUAAUAUUGACAUAUUUAUUUAUUUUUUGCAAUUCAGAUUCUCACUUUUUUUCCACAGCUCCACAUUGGCCUUCAAAAGAAUGGCAACCAGCAUUUCUAUCACUGGCACCACUGCACGCCACAGACAUACUUCGCCUUUGAAAUGUAUUUUCUGAGGGUGGCCCCAGGACACGGUGGUUUGAUUUGCACAUGUGCAUGUUUUGCUACAGCCUCCAGAAUACAGCAGGAACCUUGUGCAUUUGACCCUGACUGUCUGUGUAUUUAAGUAACAUGUCCUCAGAAUGUCUUUAUCUGCAUGUUUUGAAAACGUUUCUUACUUUUUCCUCCUCUUGCACCCAAGAGUUAUGAUAUUAUAAAUUUGAAAUGUGUUUGUGUUAAUAGAUAGCUGAAGGAAAAGGUCAGAGUCAAAGAUGCACAGUGUUCUGAGAGUUUGCAGCCAGACGACUUUGGAACAAGUUGUUGCAUCCUGAUUCGAUUUUGAUAGGGUCUGAAAAUGUUUCAGUUGCUAUAGCAGCCUGAUCCCGUAAGAUAAAGAGGAGUAAACUGCACUGUGACUCUAAUGAAAUGAUGAGUCUCUUGCAAUAAAUGUACAGACAUCAUUUGUUAUGAGGUUGGGCUUCACACUAUGUGUCGUCAUGGUUCCAUUUGUACUUGCAAAGGUUUUUGAGUGGGUGGGUAAAUGAAGACACAAAAAAAGCCUGGCAAAAAAGAGUCUGGCAGCUCUGAAUACUGGAUACUGAAGUCCAGCAACAUAUGUGUCUAAUUUGAGUUUUUUUUCUUUUUGUUGUGCUCACUCAAUGACGAUAUUGACUCCAUGUCAGUAAACGUACAUAUUGGACACAAUCAUAUGUAUGUAACUAAUUUAAAAAAUGUACACACAUACAAAGGCACACUCAUACACUCCAUUAUGAAGGGACUGAGCUGUGUUUCUACCUCCUGUCUUGCAUAAAUUAUUAUUUAUUUGAAGAAAUGUAUAUCUGUAUGGCAGGCUUAACAGGAUGUAGUCUUGAAACCUGAAUUAUAAAUGUAUCUAAAUAUGACACUUAUUCCGGAUUUUAAAUGCAGUGUCAACGGGAAACUUCCAAUGCAAGUUAUGUAUUUCAGCAUAUCAAAUAAAUGAUAGACAUCAAAUAAAAAUACCUAUGUUGAUGUUUUGUACAUAUUAUGAAGGGCAAAAUCCAAGACAAUACUGAAAGGGUUAUAUAUGUAUUUUAUUUUUGCUAAAAUCUCCUUUUUUUCUAGAUCCUUUUUUAACAGUCUUUGCCUCAGGUUAUUGAAACUGAUUAUAAUACAUGAGGCGCACCACUCCACUUAAACUCCGCCUAUAAACGAAUCCUAUUGGUCCGUCAAUGUGAAAGCCCAUCCUGGUUCGAUGCCACCAGCAAAUGAGAACGCUCAAUGUCAAGUGGAGCAAUGGAAAUCCACGCCCACAUGCACCAUUUCGCAAGGGAUUUUGGGAAACGUCGUUCUGCUGCUUUAUACUAAAAGGCACCGCUUUAGGAGCGCGAACUACAAUCUACACAUCCUGGCUUCAGGAGACGUUCACAGACCUCAGUUGCACAGCAAGACGAAGAAACAGAAGAGGAGCAAUUCUGCUGUAUUAUACCGAAAAGUUACA